CCCAUCCCAGUUAACCUCCCUCCCGUGCUCUCUCUCGGUUCUGCCGUGCUGGGGGCGCGUGUGGGGGCCCGGCCCCGAGGGCAGGCCGCAUGUCGUGCCACGUCCCUCCAUCGCCGACCAGCUGAAGCCCUGCCCAGUUAUUUUUACCAGAUUGCCCAUCACCGGCCAGUGUGUUCACCACGGCCGCUCGUUCCUGCUUGACUCGAUGCCAGGACGCAAUCGCAGCCGAGCAGGAGUGGCAGCGGGGCCCUUCGCGCCCUUCCCUUCUCCCAGGCUUUCAGCUGGAGUGAGUCAUUUCGUGCAAAGGAAGCACAGUCAUCCAGGCUUAGGUCCUCAGAGGUGCUUCCCUACUUAACUCCGGAUGACACUUCUCAGCCCCGAAUGCUCCCAGGAAUGCCAGAGAGCUGACGAUUAGCGUUGCAUUUCUUCCGUCCGAGCCCCCGUCCUGCCUGUGGGACUGGGGGAUGAGGAGGAAACGCUCUGAAUCCUCGCCAUCCCCUGGGGCGGGGUUGCUUUGGGGGUCUCAUCCUAACUGGAGGCUCUGCGAAGCAUCUGUUGGAGUUGUUGCGAUAGGAUAUCACAGAAUAAAUGCCUUCUGCUUGAAGAA